ACAUUCUUCUAUUUUUGGCCCGUCUCUAAAAUAAAAGCAAAAAAUCCUAAUAAUUACAUGCUUAAAAUGUAAUAUAUUAAUUGCUAGAUUUAGACAAAUAUUCAGUAACAAAACUAAAUAAAAUUAAAACUUCAACUAUUUAUUUGUAUUCAUGCUUCAUGUUAUCAACUUAUAAGGUGUACCAGUUGUGUACCUGAUAUUAGAAGCAAAAGAAGAAGAUGAGUGAUCAGCAGGAUGGCAGUAGCAAUACACAUAAACAACAAACAACCAGUAGCACUAAUGCAGUAGCCCAGAAACAGAGUUUGAAAACCGGUGGAGCAGUAACCCAAAAACCAACCAGACUUAGGAAAAACCAAGCAAAGACCCAGAAAUCCCAAUAACUCUUACAUGUAUGACAGAAUGAACCCAAAAAGACGGAAGAGGCAACGGGAUAAUUCUGAUUUUUUGUUCUUUAAGAUGCGGAGUAGAACACUCUCAAACUACAGACUCUCUAUGAUUUUAGAAAAUUAGUACUCUUCUCUCAGUCCUCAUCUCUCAAGAUUAAAAGUCUAUUUUUAUCUCCUCUUUAGUUCCGAAAUUUCUCUCUCCAAAUUCCUCCUCGCCUAAGUGUUAAAUGACUGCUAUUAUAUACCCCAAAUGCAAGACCAUUUCCUCUAUUCUUUUUAACUAUUAACUUUUACUUUUAAAUUAUUAUUACUAACCUUUUUUCUCUUUUUUUACCUUAUUCUUUUUAACUAUUAACUUUACUUUUAAAAUAUUAUUACUAACCCUUUUUCUCUUUUUUACUUAUUCACCCCCAAUAUUCUUCAACCAUCUAAUUAUUAUUACCCUACUAUUUCUAAUUCCUAAUCAACAAAAGCAGUCAAACGUGGACCCCACUAUCCACUCUCUUUUUUACUUUAAUCAUAAUGCUCCCCGCAUGUCUUGUCCCAUCUUUUUACUUCACAUAAUUAUGUUUCCCAUUAUAUUUUUAAAUAAUUCUUUAUUUUUAAUUCCAAAAAUAUCCCCUCAAACUACUAAAAUUACUAUUAUACCCUCAUACAUUUCAAUAUGCACUAAGAACGUAUCAAUUUUUCUAAAUCAAUUAACCAAAAUAUAGCAGCUAAACCAAUUCUUAAUCAAAUUCAACAACAGUUCAAACUAAAUGAUGAACAACAAAGAAUCAACUGAAAAUUAUUUUGACUGAACAACAUUUUUAACAACAUACAUACUUUCAGAUUCAACAAUAACAAAUAAGUAAAUUCAAAUCACUAAACUCAGAUUCAAAUUAAACUUAACAGAUCAAACAAACAAAUUCAAAUCUCUAACUCAGAUCUAAACUUAGACUUAACACAACAAACAGAUUCAAAUUACAAAACUCAAUAAUCAAUUGAACUUGAACUAGUAGGAAAAUCGUCAAAACGCACACACAUAAUUUCAACGAAUAUGCAGUAGGAAUAUCAUGCGAAAUUUUAUCAAAAUGAACCUACGUAUUAAAACGAAACCACAAAUAGAUCCGUGAAUAACAUAGAUUCGAGGUAAAAGAUGUGACCUUUACUGCUACACUUUCUUGCUCCGUUACACACAGUGCAAACAACACUUCAAAGAAAAAGCAAAAAAUCUGUGAACGAGCUACGGCUAACCUUCAUGAUAACGAUCCGACGUCGAACAAUGGUGAACUUUCGACGAAACGAAGCUUCGUUCACAACACUAUUUUGACACUUGACAGACAUACGCGGACUCGAACGGAACUUUGACGCACUGCCUCGAUGUAUGACUGAACAACCUUGGAUGGCUUUUCUCGUUUUGGACUUGAGGGUGGUCGACUGGAGAGGGGGGGUUGGUCGUUUCCGGCGAGUUGGGGUGUUGAAGACGUGAGGGGUCGUUAAUGGCGACGAAAUGACGGGGCUGAUGAUUGAAGCAGCAGUGACGACGAAGAGGCAGCAGCUGGCGGCGUUGCUGCUGGUUCGUGAAGGUUCAGCGGCUGCUGCUGGUUCACGCUGCUAGGAGGGCUACUGGGCGUGGAGCUGGACAGUGGUGGUCAUGGUGUUUGGACGUGAAGGUUUCCGGCAUGGGGAAGGUGCAGCGGCGAUGGGGGGCAGCAAUGGAGGUUGAAGGUGAAGGUAAAAGGCUAGGGUUUUUUAGUUUGGAGAAGAUGACCUCAUGAGGAAGAAGGUAAGGUCUUCAAAAAUUUGUUAUGCGGCUGAAAUUUAGUGUGUGCAGGGUUUGGG
rnacentral:lncRNA from 1 species